AACGAACGCUGGCGGCAUGCCUAACACAUGCAAGUCGAACGAUUGCCUUCGGGUGAUAGUGGCGCACGGGUGCGUAACGCGUGGGAAUCUGCCCUUAGGUUCGGAAUAACAGCUGGAAACGGCUGCUAAUACCGGAUGAUAUCGCGAGAUCAAAGAUUUAUCGCCUGAGGAUGAGCCCGCGUUGGAUUAGGUAGUUGGUGGGGUAAAGGCCUACCAAGCCGACGAUCCAUAGCUGGUCUGAGAGGAUGAUCAGCCACACUGGGACUGAGACACGGCCCAGACUCCUACGGGAGGCAGCAGUGGGGAAUAUUGGACAAUGGGCGCAAGCCUGAUCCGGCAAUGCCGCGUGAGUGAUGAAGGCCCUAGGGUUGUAAAGCUCUUUUACCCGGGAAGAUAAUGACUGUACCGGGAGAAUAAGCCCCGGCUAACUCCGUG
rnacentral:rRNA from 1 species